rnacentral:rRNA from 1 species
AUACGAAGGGGGCUAGCGUUGUUCGGAAUUACUGGGCGUAAAGCGCACGUAGGCGGAUCGAUCAGUCAGGGGUGAAAUCCCAGGGCUCAACCCUGGAACUGCCUUUGAUACUGUCGAUCUGGAGUAUGGAAGAGGUGAGUGGAAUUCCGAGUGUAGAGGUGAAAUUCGUAGAUAUUCGGAGGAACACCAGUGGCGAAGGCGGCUCACUGGUCCAUUACUGACGCUGAGGUGCGAAAGCGUGGGGAGC